UCGACACGGCCGCACGCAUCUCCUGCUCC
rnacentral:sRNA from 1 species